rnacentral:rRNA from 1 species
UACGUAGGGUGCGAGCGUUGUCCGGAUUUAUUGGGCGUAAAGAGCUCGUAGGCGGUUUGUCGCGUCGGCCGUGAAAUCUCCACGCUUAACGUGGAGCGUGCGGUCGAUACGGGCAGACUUGGAGUUCGGUAGGGGAGACUGGAAUUCCUGGUGUAGCGGUGAAAUGCGCAGAUAUCAGGAGGAACACCGGUGGCGAAGGCGGGUCUCUGGGCCGAUACUGACGCUGGAGGAGCGAAAGCGUGGGGAGCGAACAGG